UCUGAUACAAAAGAGAAAAAGAGUUGUGACAGAAAGGUUGAAUGUUAGGAUUCAGUUUCAGAAAGAAAGAAAGAAAGAAAGAAAGAAAGAAAGAAAGAAAGAAAGAAAGAAAGAAAGAAAGAAAGAAAGAAAGAAAGAAAGAAAGAAAGAAAGAAAGAAAGAAAGAAAGGAAGGAAGGAAGGAAGGAAGGAAGGAAGGAAGGAAGGAAGGAAGGAAGGAAGGAAGGAAGGAAGGAAGGAAGGAAGGAAGAAAGAAAGAAAGAAAGAAAGAAAGAAAGAAAGAAAGAAAGAAAGAAAGAAAGAAAGAAAGAAAGAAAGAAAGAAAGAAAGAAAGAAAGAAAGAAAGAAAGAAAGAAAGAAAGAAAGAAAGAAAGAAAGAAAGAAAGAAAGAAAGAAAGAAAGAAAGGAAGGAAGGAAGGAAGGAAGGAAGGAAGGAAGGAAGGAAGGAAGGAAGGAAGGAAGGAAGAAAGAAAGAAAGAAAGAAAGAAAGAAAGAAAGGAAGGAAGAAAGAAAGAAAGAAAGAAAGAAAGAAAGAAAGAAAGAAAGAAAGAAAGAAAGAAAGAAAGGAAGGAAGGAAGAAGAAAGAAAGAAAAAAGAAAGAGAGAG
rnacentral:lncRNA from 1 species